AGAAUCAACGCUGGCGGCGUGCCUAACACAUGCAAGUCGAACGAGAAAGUGGAGCAAUCCAUGAGUAAAGUGGCGACCGGGUGAGUAACACGUGACUAACCUACCUUCAAGUGGGGGAUAACCUCGGGAAACCGGGGCUAAUACCGCAUAAUAUCUCUGGAGCGGAAGAACUGGAGAUCAAAGGAGCAAUUCGCUGGAAGAGGGGGUCGCGGCUGAUUAGUUAGUUGGCGGGGUAAUGGCCCACCAAGACAGAGAUCGGUA
rnacentral:rRNA from 1 species